rnacentral:rRNA from 1 species
UACAGAGGUCUCGAGCGUUAGGCGGAAUCACUGGGCUUAAAGCGUGUGUAGGUGGAUCGUUAAGUACCUUGUGAAAUCCCACGGCUUAACCGUGGAACUGCUUGGUAUACUGGGCGGUCUUGAGCCAGCUAGGGGCUACCGGAACAAAUGGUGGAGCGGUGAAAUGCGUAGAUAUCAUUUGGAACGCCAAUGGGUGAAAACAGGUAGCUGGGGCUGUGCUGACAGCUGAGACACGGAAAGCCCAGGGGAGCAAACGGG